UCUCUCUCUCUCUCUCUCUCGCACGCGCGCAUGCACUGUUGGCGACAGACACAAAAAUAAAAAAGGCAUAUCAACACAUAGGCUUCUUCUCUUCACCUUGAGGAAUAUGUUUCAAGGAUUCUUUUGAAAUCCUCUAUAAUCUACUAGUUUCUUUAUCAGGAAAAUAAUCUAUUAUAUAUUGGAUAAGGAUGUGAGACACGUGCUCUAUAGGAGGUUCCUUUUGAUUUUCAGCACUGCAACUCAUUUAAUUCAUACAUCUUCUUCUGUUUGAUACAUGCUCAAAUUUGAUCUCAGAUUCCUUUCCUCCCCCUUCAAAUGCCAUCUCUGCACCUGAAAAGAAUUUGGUUCACCCUUUUGUAUUGUGGCGAUGGUCAUAUUGUUGUGCCACUCUGAAAAAAUGUAAUUAUUGUUGAAGCAGUACCUUGCCAUGUUGGAAGUCACUUGUCUACUUUUACUCAUCAAACUAAAGAAGUGAUAAGUGAUCUAUAAUUACAUUCUUAUUUUGUUUCCUCAUAUGCAAGUUUCAACCAUCAUCUUUUCCUUACUCUGUGCUAGUUUGACAUGUUCAGUUUUGUGUGAUUAUGUUAUUAUUUGUACUUUGGUGAAAGUUCAAUGUGUAUGCUCCUUUAGUUUUAAUUGUGACCUUAGAAAUGGUUGAUUGGAUUAUUUUCUCUGCUUUUCAUGUGUCAACUUGCUAAUUCUGAACAAUCAUAAAAGGUGUUUUCAUUCUUCACUGAUGAUAGUGAAAAGGAACAGGAACAUUGGAAUUCAUUUACUUGGAAAAUACGUUUCUUGUGGGAUGGGCGUGGUUUGAAUACAUAGAAGAAUCUUGUGUUCUUUUUGAAGGUUUCUGUAUGUUGAGUAAGGUCUAGUCAUAAUUUUUUUCUUAAAAAUUAGGCUGUUACUUUUAUUAUUGAAGUUACUGAGUGUUGCCCAGUUGAAGAAUGCCCAAGUUUCCAAAUUGUCAUGAUAUAGCUCUUUGAUUUUAUAUAUGACCUUGGCUUAUUUAUUAUGAGAUGCAAAAUAGUUAAAAGAGUGCAUUCUGAGACCAAGUUUGCAGAGUUAUGGUUUUAAGUGCGAUCAAUGGGCAAUUUUGCUGUUAGUUUAUAGUGUUUUAGAAUGGUUCUAUAGUAUGAGAAUUGUGAAAUCCAGCAGAAGACUUUAUAUCAGUGUUUAAAGUAAUCCAUACGAGUGUCUGAAUACCUUGAAAGUUUACUGAAGGUUGCAUUUUAGGUUUGGAUUGCAGAGGUGAGCUAAAUCAUUUCAUGUGGUAAUCUGGUUAAGUGUUCUCCAUGCUUAAGUAUCUAUGUUGGCAAAGUAGGGAUUUUUCUUCGUCUGAAAUGUCAUUUUGUUGUUUCUCCUUGCUUUAAUUUUUCUGUGUGAAGCUCUGAUCUUUUCAUUUCAUGUUUCUCUUUACUUCAUAAAAGCUGGUGACUUGCUAGAUUUUCCUCCGGAACUUUUUACUUUUAAUGAAGUCAAGUCUACUAGGUGUUAUGUUGGUCCUGGAGUUUAAAUGAUGAUCUCUUUUGUACCGUGAUCGGUAUCAUAUAAAAGAUCUGAACACCCUUUUUUGGGCAGUGAUCACAUAAUGGAACAGUAGAUUUCUCAAAAAUGCUAGCUUCCAUGGAAUUUUUAUAGAAGUUAUUCAUGCCAUGCAUUCUGUUGACUCUUAUCAUCAUAAGUGGUUUGAUUGUAGUUGCUUUUGGUUCUUAUUUCCUUUUUUAUUUUUGCCCUGUUGAUCUUCUGCCAAAUAAAUUCCUUCAUACGGCGGUUAAAAAUUUAGUUUGAAUCUGGACUUGUGUCAAACCCUUCUUCUGUUUUUUCUUAGGUGGAUAUGCAUCAAAUGGUGCCUUUGGCCAAGGCUUUCAAUCUGAUGGUGAUUCCACUAACACAACAAUUUUUGUUGGAGGACUUGACCCUAAUGUCACGGACGAAGAUCUCAAGCAACCUUUUUCUCAAUAUGGUGAGAUAGUUUCUGUUAAAAUUCCAGUUGGUAAAGGAUGUGGAUUUGUACAAUUUGGCAACAGGAGUAAUGCUGAGGAGGCAUUGCAAAAAUUGAAUGGGACAGUAAUUGGCAAGCAAACAGUGCGUCUUUCUUGGGGUCGCAAUCCAGCAAAUAAGCAGAUUUUGGCAACCAAUGGAGUGGGGCAUACUACGGAGGGCAGGUUUACGAUGGCUAUGGAUAUGCUUU
rnacentral:misc_RNA from 1 species